rnacentral:lncRNA from 1 species
AAAAAAAAAAAAUUGGAUCAUCUUUUAGAGAACAAGAGCAGCGGCACCCUCCCCACAAAAAGGAUCCCGACGUUACAAUACAAUUAAGAGGACACUCAUCACACAAAUACAGAGAAAAUGGGAAAUCGGGAAAAGAGCAAAAAGCAAGGAUAAAAAAAUGCGGAGAGCAUUUUAGACAUUAGAAGGUUAGAACAACGGAAGGAACAUUUUCUUUGCACAAAAGGAGGUGUCACGGCAGCAGAAAACGCGCGCGCGCGCACAACAAAGGAACAAAGGAAAGAAUAGGAAUUUGUGGACUUCAGUUAGCUCGAAAAACUCCGGCGACCUCCAUUAACGCCGACGAAAUCGCAUUUUUGUCUCUCCCCACUGUUCUCCUAUCAUUUUUCAGUUAUUAGUGUCUUUGUUCUACAAUAUCAGAUCCGGCUGUUUUUCUUUUAAAAUUCCCGACGAGGUUCCGUCGAGGUCCGAGCUUCCGUCUGUUGAGUUCCUGUCAUGGCUGCGGUAUCGAUUUUGUUUGUGUAAUUGUUGAAUGCUUUGAGGAAUUGAAACUUCAUUUUUCAGGUGCAAUUCUUACUUCUUCUUAUGUUUCUCUAAUGGUAAUGGUGUGGAUUCAUUUUGAGUUUAUUUUGC